AUUGAACGCUGGCGGCAGGCCUAACACAUGCAAGUCGAGCGGAUGAAGAGAGCUUGCUCUCUGAUUUAGCAGCGGACGGGUGAGUAAUGCCUAGGAAUCUGCCUGGUAGUGGGGGAUAACGUUCCGAAAGGAACGCUAAUACCGCAUACGUCCUACGGGAGAAAGCAGGGGACCUUCGGGCCUUGCGCUAUCAGAUGAGCCUAGGUCGGAUUAGCUAGUAGGUGAGGUAAAGGCUCACCUAGGCGACGAUCCGUAACUGGUCUGAGAGGAUGAUCAGUCACACUGGAACUGAGACACGGACCAGACUCCUACGGGAGGCAGCAGUGGGGAAUAUUGGACAAUGGGCGAAAGCCUGAUCCAGCCAUGCCGCGUGUGUGAAGAAGGUCUUCGGAUUGUAAAGCACUUUAAGUUGGGAGGAAGGGCAGUAAGUUAAUACCUUGCUGUUUUGACGUUACCAACAGAAUAAGCACCGGCUAACUUCGUGCCAGCCGCCGCGGUAAUAC
rnacentral:rRNA from 1 species